UAGUGUUAACAGCGCUUUUAGAAUUUGUCUAGCAGGUUUUCUGGUCUUUACCGGAAGACCCCC
ensembl:snRNA U7 U7 small nuclear RNA